GAGUUGGAGUGACUCAUUGUGCAGGACAAAUUCAAGGGACCGAACGAUGCAUAUGCACCGGGAAUCCCAGGGAGCACGUGUACUUAAAACGCGUGAAAACCAUUGAAACGUUUCCAGCAUCUACCUUUUGCUCAAAGAUUGAAAUACUUGUUACUCUAAAGAAGACUGGGAAGAAACUCUGUCUCGAUCCGCUGGGCAGGCAAGGGAAGAUGUUCCUGAACCACAAACGAACACAGCCGCAAGUGAAAAAUCCGAAAGGAAAACGAGGCAAGAAAAAAUGGGGAAAUUGAAAGCACUUUGGAUGAUUGCAUUUGAUGUUGCUGUUGUUCAUUUUACAUUUGAGCUGUAAUAUUCCUGUGCUCGCUAUGGACACAUAUUAAAAAUGGUUGGUAAACGUUUUGAAAAACUAGUAAGACUAAUAUAUAUAUAUAUAUAUAUAUAUAUAUAUAUAUAUAAAAUCCGGGUGCAUGAUUCUCCAUUUAUUACGACAUAUACUUGCAUACCAUAUGUUUAGUUAUGGAUGAAUUAAUGAAUACACUUAGUUAAAUGGUUAUGUUGAUUUGCAUUGCUAUUGAUUGUGCAUUUGUGUAAUUAAUGAAAACAAUGGACACGUUUUAAUUAGUAUGUAGGCCUAGGCAUUUUGCUUCCAGAUUUUUUUUUUUUUUUUCUCGAGAGCCACUAAUGAACAGCUUUGACUAAAUUAAUCGUAAACCUGAAAUAAACUUCCUCAAAGCAUGUAUUUGA